UGCUUUGUGAUUUUUAUCUUCAUAGGUCCUUCAUUAAACAAUUGUUUCUUCUUCUAGUUUGUCUUCGUCAUUGGAGAUUCACAUCUCCGAGCCAUUGUGGAUGGCUAUGUGAAGGUGCCUGAGGGGAAGCUGUCCUUUGGCUACCUGUCGGUUCCUGGUGGUACAGCAGCCCACCUUACCACUGAGGUCCGGCAUUUAGUUCUCCCACGUGAUCCAGAUGCAGUGUGUCUGCUCGCUCCAAGCAACAAUCUGGACAGUCCUAUUUCUGAAGCAGAAAAAGACUUCAAGUGUCUUUUGAACACCAUUUCCACUCUUUGUCCAAAUGUUUUUGUUUUGGAUUUCCCUCCAAGACUGAGCCAUGACACGGUUGUGCAGGACCAUCUGAGGAUGAUGUUUCACAGGGUCUCAGUACAAAUGGAUGUCCCAUACUCAUCAAUUGCUGAGAACUUCCCCUUUCAUCGCCUGGAUUUGUGGGGCAGAGAUGGGGUUCAUCUCAGUGACAGUGAUGGUAUGGACAUUUUUGCACAAUUGCUCUGGCAAAAAACAUACCUGCACCUCCAAAGUCAGAAGGCCCAGGUUACCCCCAAGAAGUCUGCUGCUAGAGUGGUCGUUCAACACGCAAAGCCCAUUCAACCCCAAGCAGACCAAUCUAAGUGGAAAGUUGUUUUGCCUGGCAAGAAGAGGUCUACUCCAGCUGGUCCAAAGGAGCAGAGAUCAUCUUCAAAGAGAAUUCUUCUUCAUGAGGCCGAAGUCUGUUUUGAAGUUAAUCCCAAAUACUUCCACGAAGAUCUGCUGCAUGUCUUGGAAAAUGACAGUACUGGAUGUCCAGAUGUGCUUUCACCAGAUGUCCAACAAAAAAAGGUGGUACAACCUGAAGGAAAGCCAGUGUCCUUUGGAAAAGAGAAAAGUGUUGUCAACACGCAGGGACAGGCAACAACGAUCCAGAAGCCCCCUGCCAGUGCAACAGCACCAAUAAAGGAGCAAGUGAUCAUGCCCUCUGAUGAUCAUGAAUGGCCAACACUUGCAGAGAGUUUAAAGACAUCUCACAUUCAUCCAAAAGGCUCACGUGGCACACUGAUGUCUCGUCAUCAGAAGUACCUGAAGGACUGCAGUGUGGUCCUUCAAAAACUGAAAGAGAAAACUGAUGACGCCAGUGUGCCAUCACCAGCCCCCAAUGACAAAACGUAUGCAGCUGCUGUCCAAGAACAAAAAUCUGUUUCACGCACAGAUGUCACCAAGGACCAGGUUUGCUGUCACUCCCAGGAGCAUUUGAAAGACUGCGCUGAGGUUCUACAUCUCCAGAUGAACGAAGACAAAUACAGUGUUACAUCGCCUGUACCAAAAGGCAAAAUGAACGCAGUUGCUCUCCAAGACCAAGGACCUGUUGACCUAGGAGAUGCUACAAAGCAACAGGAAUGUAAAGAGAAGGAGACGAGUGUUCAACCUGAGAAGGUCCAUGAUGCUCCUGGUGUUGCAGCUUCAAGUGUUACCAUUGCAUCUUCCUCAUCAAAUCAGGAAAGUUUGAACACUUUUCAUUCUAUUGUCAAAGGUUCAUUUCAUCAAGGUCAUAAGCGUUUUGGGUGCAACCGAUUUAAACAGUGUGCACCAAACAGCAUUACAGCCAUCAUGACAAACACUGUCAAAAUGGCUUCCACAUGGUCAAGAAAAGACAUUAACAAUAUCUUGAUAAGUGGUGAUAGUUUAUACACUUACAUGAAAGAGCAAAACAUGAUCAGUGAUGCAGAAGGCAGUGGUUAUGUUUUUGUUCAAGAGUUACCCACAGAGCACACAUUCCAUCAUCACAAGUUCUCUUUGGAAUACAUGCAGACCUUCACAGGACAUCUUCAUCAGCAGAUUUACCAUGAAGAUGUUUCAGAUUUUGCCAUGCCUUUGGACGUUGCAUUACAGAGAGCUAUAUUUGACAAUGACGGCUGUCUGUUUACAAUUAGUAGAAACACAUGUGCAGUUUUGAAAGAACAAUCUCAGUUUUCUGUUUUUGAUCCACAUUCACGUGGUCAUGAUGGUCUCUGGCAGUUGAAUGGCACAAGCAUAGUAGCACACUUUGAUACUUUAGACCAAGUUUAUACACAUUUAAUCAAUCUCUCUCACUCUUUGUGUGCUGACAAUGCAAAUGAAGAGGACACAGCUUUUGAAAUGACCGGUGUUAAGGUGACAGCUCAAUCUAUGAGUAAACCUAUCCAAAGUAAAACUGCUUCUUGCCAAAAUGAUGUAGAGUUAAUCAGUGGAAAUGAUGAUAGUUUUGAUGACGAUACAUUUGAUCAGUUAGUAGUUGAAGAAAUUGAAGAUGUUGCAGUCAGUGACACAUCUGAGUCUCUUUCUGAAUCUCCAUCUCGUUGUGAGCUCAUCCAUACGCAAAAUAGUUCUUUUCAAGAUGAUGCAGAGUCAAUAUGUACUAGUUUUGAUGAUGAUAGUUUUGAUAAAGUAGUACUUCAGGAAAUAGAAGAUAUUGCAGUUAAUGACACCACUUCCCUUGAUGUAGACUCAGUAACUGAAAAUCAUCACACUUCUUUGAAUCAAGCAAUAAUUGAAGAAGUGCCACAAAAUGAUACAUCUGUUUUCAUAAUUUCAGAAAAUAUCAACAGCACUGUUACUUUCAAUCCUCUGACUUCUAAAGACAAAAGAAACUUUUGCACCCAACUACAGAUAGUUCCAAGUUUAGAAAGGGUGAAAAGUCUUUGGGAAAGUAUUACAUUAGAUGAACCGUUACCUUGUACCACUAAACACAUCCAGCCAGACGGCAACUGCUUUUUCCGUGCUCUUGCAUUUGUAAUUACUGGGAAUGAAGAGUUGCAUAGCUGGAUUCGCAGGGCUGUUGUUAAUCAAAUUCUUCAAAAUUCUGACCUCUAUUCAAGUUACAUCAGACAGGAAUUUGAAUCAGUACAACAGUAUGUUACACAAACAGGCAUAAAGAUAGUUGGAUCCUGGGCUACAGAAAUUGAGAUACAAGCAGCUGCAGACUUUUUUCACACCCAUAUUUACACUUACACUCAAGGAAAAUGGUUACAAUAUGGCUCUUCUAGUACUUUAGACAACACCAAGGGUAUUUAUCUGAAACACUGUAAUGAAUGUCAUUAUGAGCCAAUCGCAUGUGUGAAAGAUAAAACUAACACAUGUUUUAACCUGAUCUCAUGUAAUUACUGUCACUUUAAAGGUGACAAGGACAUACUAUCUCCAUCUAAGAUAAGCAGAGAGAACAGGAGAAAGAGAACUCUGUAUAAUAAAGACAUUGAGAAAAGGGAAAGCAAAAAAAUGAUGUUACAGAAAUUGUAUAAGGACGAUCCUAAGUACAGAUUACACAAGAAGCAAUUAAGUGUCAUUACAUAUAGAAAUAACCCUGAACUGAGAGCAAGACUCAGACAUGACAGUAAAGAAAACUACAAAAACAAACCUGAACUGAGAGCAAGACUCAGACAUGUCAGUAAAGAAAACUACAAAAACAAACCUGAAAUGAGAGCUAGACUCAAACUGGCUAAUAAACAAAACUACUACAAAAAGCCUGAACUGAGAGCAAGACUCAGACAUGAUAGUACAGAAAACUAUAAAAACAAACCUGAACUGAGAGCUAGACUCAAACUGGCUAAUAAACAAAACUACUACAAAAAGCCUGAACUGAGAGCAAGACUCAAACUUGCCAGCAAAACCACUUAUGCAGCCAAAAGUAAACACUCUAAACUUCAGUUAUUGAAACAGAACGUAGAAAGAUAUAGAAAUAAGGUUGACCACCGUAACCGCAUCAAACAGUCUAAUUCUGAACGGUAUAGAAAUGUAACUGCUUAUGCCGAUUCUGUUAAAGAGCACGGAAAACGUAGACGACAAAAUCUCAUGACUGGAAAAAAAUUCAUAGAUAAUGUCAUUCAGCUUUUUAGAGAAAAGGUUAAAUUUGGCCCUCAAUUCGUCUGUUGUGUUUGUCAUCGGUUACUUUUUAAACAUCAAGUUGUUGAAUGUAAAACACAGCAGUAUGAAAUUAGAGGUUCAUUCAUUUCAUCUGUGGCAAAAAAAUGCAUCACUGACACUUAUUUACACAAGUGUGGACAGUCUUCAGUUUCCAAAUGCCAUCUAGAGGUUAGCCCUGCAUGUAAAUUGUGGGUCUGUUUUACUUGUCAUCGUAAAAUACUCAAUGGAAAAGUCCCUGAAGAAAGUGUUGCAAACAAUAUGCACCUAGAUUCUAUUCCUGUAGAACUUAGUACGUUGAAUCCUCUUGAGCAACAUCUAGUGGCACAGCACAUUCCGUUUAUGAAACUUUUAGCCUUACCAAAGGGAGGGCAAAAUGGUGUCCAUGGACCUGUGACUUGUGUUCCAUCUAAUACAGAAACUGUGAGUAACAUUCUACCCAGAUUAGAUGAUCAGAAUCUAAUGAUUAAAGUCAAACUGAAGCGAAAGCUGACGUACAAGGGUCACUAUGACUAUCAGUAUGUCAAUGCUCUGAAAGUACAUAAUGCAAUUGCAUACCUUAAAUCUCACAAUACUUUUUACAAAGAUGUACAAUUUAACAGUGCAUGGACAAAUCCCCUAGAAAAAGAGUCUGAAGACUCUACCUCUGAAACCGACAACGUCACUUUGGAAGAAGACAGCAAUAGAGCUGAAAUAGAGUGUGAACAUCCUGGCAAAAGAGAUGGCAGUGGCACAGAGGUAGAGUCUGAAGACCUUGUUAGCGAUGAUCAUUUUAAUGAUAGACAACAGCAUGGGAUGUUUUUGGACACAUGCAUGCAACCAGUAGACAUUGCCCAAGAAAUACUAGACAACCAUUUUGACAGUGUUUUAUCAGUAGCACCAGCUGAGGGAAAUACUCCAGUCAGAUUGCUUACCGAUACUUCUAACGAGGCUAAAUGCUUUCCAGUUCUGUUUCCCAACGGAACAGGUACAUUUCAUGAUGCAAGAGAGCAAAGGAUUACACUAAGCAAAUAUUUAAACACCCGAAUUCUCAAUGCUGAUGGCAGAUUUGGCAAGAACUUGGAUUACAUCUUUUAUGCACAAUAUUUGUCAGAAGUUAAUCAAGUUGUGUCAAAUGUUUCCAUUGCACUGAGAAAGGGCUACCAUGGCUUAGACAACACCAACAUUACAUCAUCCAUGCUGGGCAAUACAGACUUUUUGAAGAAUGUUUUAAAUGCUGACAUGGGCUAUAAGUUUUUGAAGCCCAUUAGAGGUACACCAGUAUUUUGGCAGGGAGUUCAAAAAGAUCUGUUUGCUUAUGUUAGACAACUUGGCAUUCCUACAUGGUUUGCUUCCUUUUCUUCAGCAGAUUUAAGAUGGCCAGAAUUUAUGGAAGCUUUUAUGGCUAUAGAAAACAUUCAAGGCAAUAUUCAUGACAUGGACUGGGCACAGAAAUGUGACUUAUUGAAAAACAAUCCAGUGACAGCAGCCAGAAUGUUUGACUAUAGAUUUAGAUCUUUUUUAAAAGAUGUUAUCAUGUCUCCCGCUCAGCCAAUUGGUAAAAUCAUUGAUUAUUUUUAUAGAGUAGAGUUUCAACAACGUGGAUCAUGUCACACUCAUUGUCUAUUUUGGACCGACGGGCCUAAAAUAGGAGUCAACACAGACGCUGAAGUCAUAGCUUUUGUAGAUAAAUAUGUUACAUGCGACCUCCCACCUGACAGUGAUCCUCUCCAUGAAGUGGUACAUAGUGUUCAAAUGCAUAGCAAAAAACACUCUAAAAGUUGCAGAAAAAAUCACACAACUUGCAGGUUUCACUUUCCCCGACCACCAAGCAACAAUACAUUCAUAUGUAAACAGGAACCGGAUGUUGAUAAUAAGGAAACCCCAUCUGACAAGUCAUCUUCAGAUUUAAAAAAGGCAGCCAAGCAUAUCAUGACCAAAGUUAAAGAAGCUUUGACCAGUGAAAACAACACAUUUAGUAGCAUAGAUGACUUGUUUAAUUCCAUUGGUAUUGACCAGACUACAUUUGAAACAGCCUACAAACUGACCUCUACAAAAACAACUGUCGUCCAUAAACGAAACAUAAACGACAUCUGGGUUAAUCAGUAUAACACAGACCUGCUACGUUGCUGGAAUGCAAACAUGGACAUCCAGUUUGUCUGUGAUGCAUAUGCAUGCAUUGUUUAUAUCAUUUCCUACAUAUCCAAAGCAGAAAGAGAAAUGGGUUUGCUAUUAAAACAUGCACAAAAUGAAAUCAAACAUAAUGAAAACCUGGAUGCAAAACAAGCGCUUAACAAAUUAGGGAAUGUGUUUCUGCAUAACAGAGAAGUUUCUGCUCAAGAAAGUGUGUAUCGGCUAACAAACAUGAGAUUAAAAGAGGGCUCUAGAAAAGUCACAUUUGUUCCAACAGGUGACAACAUUGUCAGAAUGAGCUUACCUCUUAAUGUCAUUCAAAACAGUGCUAAUGGUAAUCAGAUCUGGAUGACAAACAUUACUGAUCGAUACAAAAGCAGGCCUAAGUCCAGUGAAUUUAUGGACAUGUGCAUAGCUACUUUUGCCUCAGAGUACAGAAAUGUACCAAACAGUGAGAAAUCUAGACCAGAAGUGGUUAGUUUAUUAAACAACAAUGGUUGUGUAAGGAAGCGGACAAGGACAAAUGUAGCUGUUGUUAGAUAUGCUCGUUUUUCUAAAGAACAAGAUCCUGAGAAACACUAUCAAAGCCAGCUUCAGUUGUUCCUUCCUUAUUACACGGAAAACCAGUUAAAACCAUCACAAUUUACAACAUUUCAAGAGUUUUAUGAGACCGGCUCAAUCACAAACAGUAGUAAAAACAUCCAGUCUGUCAAAGACGUAGUAGAAUUCAACAGAUCCAAGUUUGAAAUCAAAGCAGAAGAUUUACAAAACAUACAGGAAGAUAUUGAACACUUUGGAUUUCAAGAAGAUGUUUGGGCAGAGCUGUGUCCUGAGGCAGAACUAGACCGACUAGAAUGUUUGGAAGACAGAUCUUUAGAUAACAAUCCAAAUCCUGGUGAACAAGAAGUUAUUCCAGAUCUAGAGCCAAUCACAAAACCAGCUUUAUCAUUUCACAUUCAAAAACAGAUAGUCUCACACAAGGAAGCACAAUCCUUAAUGCGUUCUCUAAAUCAGCAGCAGAGCAACGUGUUUUAUAAAAUCCGGCAGUGGUGCUUAGAUAAAGUAAACGGUCACAAUCCAAGCCCUUUUUAUGUUUUCAUUUCAGGUGGAGCGGGAACAGGCAAGUCCCAUUUGGUAAAAGCCGUGUCCUAUGAAACAACCAGAAUACUAUCCAGAUUAUCUAAUUAUCCUGAUGAUAUUCAUGUUUUAUUGACUGCCCCCACUGGAGUGGCUGCAUUAAAUAUCAAUGCCACAACAAUACAUAAUAGCUUUGCAAUUGGCAAUAAUAUUUCAUUACCAUACCAACCUUUAAGAGAGGAAAAAAUAAACACAUUAAGAGCAACCCUGAAACAUUUACAAAUCUUGAUAAUAGAUGAAAUCUCAAUGGUUGAUAACAAGCUUUUAACAUAUAUCCAUGGUAGACUGCGUCAGAUCAAACAGUGUUCAGACUUUUCUUCAUUUGGUAAUGUCUCCGUCAUAGCUGUUGGUGAUUUUUAUCAGUUGCCACCUGUCAAAGGGACUCCACUCUACAAGGACCCCAUUGGUUCCAAUUUGUGGCAAAACAGUUUCAGUCAUGUAGAACUCACAGACAUAGUACGACAGAAAAACAAAGACUUUGCUGUAACACUUAACCGUUUAAGGAAACACAAAAAAGACCAACCACUUCACCCACAAGACGAAGCACUUCUCAAACGAUGUGAAACAGGCAUGGGUGAAGACACUGAAAUUCUGCAUCUUUUUGCAACAAACAGUGAUGUUGAUAAUCAUAACUUCAACAUGUUGCAUAAACAAUGUACAGACAUUGUACAAAUCAAAGCCCAAGAUUUCCAUAAAAACCCUCAGACUGGCCGUACCACUAGAAUACCCUCAACACUUGAUUUUGGCAAGAAAACCUAUUUAGAUAAAUUACUAAGUAUUGCUCCUAAAGCUCGUGUAAUGCUCAUUAAAAACAUCGAUGUUUCUGAUGGACUUGUCAAUGGUGUGUUUGGUACUGUUUGUCGCAUACAAUUUCUAAGUAACAAUAGCUUCCCACACAUCAUUUAUGUUAACUUUGAUAACCCAAGUAUAGGCCAACAACUACGACACAAGUUUCCAACUUCAGACACCGAGCUGACUAAUGCUACACCAAUUAGUCCCGAUGAAGACAAACUUGAAAAGGGGGUUAGACGUCAAUUUCCACUGCGGCUGGCUUGGUCUUGCACCAUACAUAAAGUCCAAGGCCUAACACUACAGAAAGCAGUAGUCUCUUUUAAAAGGAUUUUUUCUGCUGGACAAGCAUAUGUAGCUUUAAGUCGUGUUACAUCACUAGAACACCUCACUAUCCAAGAUUUUAAAGCUAAAGCAAUCUAUGCAAGAAGUGAUGUGGAAGAAAACUUGAAAUUAAUGCCAAACUUUAUCGACACACCAGUUUCAAUGCCAAACUGCACUUUUAAAGUCUGUCUUCAUAAUGUGCAAGGUCUCAAGAAUCACAUACAGGAUGUCAAGAGCAACCAAAAAUUACUCACAGCCGAUAUAAUUUGUCUGACAGAAACUUGGUUAAAAGAAACACAUCCCUCUGAAAGCAUUUCACUGCCAGGUUGGACUUUUCACCACAAAACCAGAUCUGACUCAUACGAUGAAACUGGACUAUUUUCUACUUUCAGAAGCAAAAAUGGUGGUGGUGUUGGUUUCUAUCACAAAAACAGCAUUAUGUGUAAAAGUAUGGCUUUCAAUUGCAACAACCUGGAAGCUUUGCUUUUUAGCACACAGACUUUAAACCAUCAUUAUAUGCUGUUGUACAAACCACCAUCAUAUAACCUUCAGAAAUUCAAAGACAAUCUACAACCUGUACUGCAUUAUUUCAAUGAAUUUCCAGGAACCAAAAUAGUCAUGGGUGACAUGAAUGACGAUGCACUGGUUUCUAAUUCAUUUGUCAGCUUCAUGAAAUUGCAAGGAUACACUCAAAUAGUAACAAGUCCAACAACCGAAAAUAAUACUCUAAUUGAUCAUGUUUACAUCAAAGACAUUGAUCCCAAAACCAUACAUAUAGAAGUUAUUCCCACCUAUUACAGUUACCAUGAAUGUAUUCAAAUAUCAUUCUUGACAGGAACAGACACAGACAUACAGUUACAGGAACUGGGGACAGACAGACAAGGACUGCAGGACAAAUAGCCUCAAGGGGAAAGACAGACAAUCACAGAUAGAUGGACGGGUGUACAUCAGAGCUGACCAUAACAAAUUACACAUAGAGGUCCGUUUCAUUCAUACAAAAUCAAUUUAGCUUCAAAAUCAUCUAAACUUAUUUCGACUCUUAUACAUAUAUACCAUACCAUACCACACCAUAUCUUACCAUUUAAUGUAUAUUUAGCAUGUGAAAUACACUUUUUAUCCAUAAAAAAGUGUAUGACAGUAUCACACUUACUUGUGGUUUUGAUAAUGGACAUUGAAAUGUUACUUUGUGUUGUGCCAUCACUGUUUCAAUGUAUAAAAAUGUAUCCAUUUAGAUAUUCACAAAUUCACUUAUUCUAGUACUAUUUUUAUUUUCCUUUGUUAAAGACUUCAUUUUACAGCACUCUUCUUUUGUUCAAUCUCCACUAGGAACAAUCACCCACCAGAUGAAGUUCCUGAAACAACACAACCGAAAUCUGUGGAAUCAGCAACCAUCAUGUGACCACGCCGCCCACCUGUCGUCCUGUUUGCUUCCCAGCCUGCCUAACUACCAGCCUCUGGAUCUGCAUCAUAUCCUGCCUCACUGUCUGCCUCGCAACCUGUUUCCUCAUCCCAUCCUGGAUCCUCAUUCUCUGCUGCUCUUCUGUCCCCACCUGGCCCCAAAGCCCCAGCCCUGCCUCACCAACACCGAUCAUCUCCAAUCUUGAUCCCUCCUGUUCCAGUUUGGAGCACCGUUUUCAGUUUCACAUUGUUCUUAAUAAAUAUUAUUUGUUAUUCACUUGCCAUCGUUUCCGUCUGUGAUUUUUUCAUGUCCUGGGUAAAACAUUCCCAACGUGACACUUUGCCUCAGAAUGCCCUUCUGCCACUUUGCUAUACAUUGUGUAACACAUCAUUUGUACAUUUACAUAUGUAGAUAACAAUAAAGUGUUUUCUGUACUCUUGAAUCAAUAUAAUUUCUGGAAUCCUAAUUUCAAUGCACAGUGUUGUAAAAAUAUUGUUUGCUCUACAAAGUCUCCCCCACAAUUGGCAAAAUUUGACAUACAAUAAACUGCUGUUUUUUAAUUCAA